AUGAGCUCCUGGAGCCAUUUGCUUUGAAAUGUGCACAUUUCACAGGCGGCUGCCUGCCAAUGAGACAACUCUAAGCAGGACCAAGAAAAAGGAAAAGAGAGAGAUGCCGGAGAUUUCCCUGACAUACGCAAAAGAAAGGAAACCGGAAAGGCCCAGAGUGCUGAUGGAGUAAGUGAAGGCAGGACACAAUUGGAAAUAUUGAUUAUAUUACCAAAGCUUUGACUGGAAUGUCAUAUUUGAGAGAAACAUACAGACUAAGAUAUGACAAGACAGUUUUUGAGAAAUAAAGGUUGACUUUAUGGAAUAAAGCCACCUGGAAAUAUUGGCCUGGUACCUUACUUAAAGGGUUGCCAGUAACCUUACCAGGUUUUGUUUUCUAUCUGUAAACUGGACUGGAUCCUAAUUCUUCUAGUGUCCUGAAAUAUCUUGCUACAAAUCUCCCAACUAAUGUUUUCAAAUUUUUUCCCGUCAUUUUCAUUGGAAAUCAUUGAGAACUAAAACUGACCUUUUUCCUGAAUCCCUCCAAACUGAAGCUGGACAACUUGAUAUAAACUUAAGAGAGAUUCAUGUCUGUUGCUGUGUAAGCCACUCAGGAAGAUACCUGAACACCCAGUGACCUCAGAGACAUUUCAAACUGCCAAAGAUGCUUUGACUCUGACAUCUAGAGAUCUUUUUGGCUGGCUGCCCCCUUGGCUCAGAAAGUGGAAUGUGAUGAUCCCAGACAGAGAGUCUAUGCUGAUAACCAUCAUUGAAUGACAACUGAAAGAUCUGGUGUGGUGACUCCUAGUCUGUAACACGAGAAAGUCAACAUUCCUGACUCCCUCCCCUAAAACCCACUGGCCUAUAUAACUGCUUCAAGAUUCUUGUGCCCUCCUUAAGAUGGUUCUUUAGGACACUAUUCCUCCCAUCUUCCAAUUUGCUAGCAUAUUGCUUAAUAAAAUGCCCUUUUUCUGCCACGAUCUUGCCUCUUGACAAUUGGCUUUUGUCUUGUGGCAAGUAGAUUGUGCCAUUUGUGCAGUAAUGUACACACAAUAUUUCUAAGUGUUGGUAUGAAAAAAGAAUG
rnacentral:lncRNA from 1 species